UCUAUAGUGAGUGUGUUGUAAAGUGUGGCUGUGGGCUUAUAGUGUGUGUAUAGUGAUCUGUCUUUCCUACACUCGUCCCACGGCCACAGAUUGACUAGAGGGGUUAUAGUACUGGUCCAGUGACCCCACCACUAGCCAGUUUCGCAGCCCUCUUACAUCC